ensembl:lncRNA
AUGCUCCCAUCUCCCAGGCAGGCCUGUUCGGCGACACUGUCGAGGACUUUGCCCAGCAGUUCUCAGCAGUGCAAAAGCAGACUGAGGCCAUCCAACACAUCUUGCCCCGACGUGAUCCUCCGGUUGCCACCAUUCCGUCGCGGGCAGCGCCUCAGCCUGCUCGUCGCCGUGGGCGCCCCCCUGCGUCCUCCACACCAGCUCCGCCCCGUGCUGAGAGUUCUUCGAGGCCGGCGCGUCGAGCCCCGCGCAGGAGAGCGGCGCCCCCCGUGUCACUCCCGGCUGCGAAGUCCUCGAGGAAGACGACUAAGCGGCCCUGACACGGGCAACUCGGAGAUGUGGGAGACUGCUCUUCAGGAGUUGGCGGAAACAGCGCCACUCCUUCCCCCGGAGGAGGGCCGGGUGGAGAAUCUUCAGUUUACGUUUCUUUCUGUUCCGCCGCUGGUCCAACGGCCGGCGGCACCCACUUUUUCAAUAAAAGAGCAAUUUCCCUUUCCUCCGAGUUGCAAGGCUCGUGGGUUGACGAUGAGCGACGCACUGCCUCCUCAUUCUCACCCACGACGCCCCCCUUCGCCAGCGGUCAAGAGGUCGCGGUUCGGAGACGCAACGCCUCUCCACGCGUCUCUGGCCAGUUCCUCCGGGAACACGGGGAGUGUGGCUGUGAUGACUCGGAACGCGAUGCUUUCUGGGCCAUCCGACACAGCUCCCCAUCGCUGCACCACUGCGGGUAUGUCGACUGUCCCUUUGGUGCCACUUGUACGGAGUUUGGGAGCGUGGCUUGCGCUGCCCAACCCGUCACGCUGGCUCAUUCGGACGGUCCGACUCGGUUACGCGAUUCAGUUCGCCCGGCGACCUCCCAAGUUCAAUGGCGUGCUCGAGACUUCGGUGGCAGUCCGGGACGCCUCUGUCUUGCGCGAGGAGAUUGCUGUCCUCCUGGCGAAGGAUGCAAUCGAGCCGGUCCCUCCAGCCGAGAUGAGGACGGGGUUUUACAGCCCUUACUUCAUCGUACCCAAGAAAAGCGGUGGCCUUCGACCUAUCCUGGAUCUGCGAGUCUUGAAUCGGGCCCUGCACAAGCUCCCGUUCAAGAUGUUGACGCAGAAACGCAUUAUCAAAUGCGUUCAGCCCCAGGACUGGUUUGCAGCGAUCGACCUGAAAGACGCGUACUUUCAUGUCUCGAUCCUCCCUCGUCACAGACCGUUUCUGCGGUUUGCAUUCGAGGGUCAGGCAUGGCAGUACAAGGUCCUCCCCUUCGGGCUCUCCCUGUCUCCCCGUGUCUUCACGAAGGUCGCGGAGGGCGCCCUUGCCCCACUUUGGGAAGUGGGCGUCAGGAUCCUCAACUAUCUCGACGACUGGCUCAUUAUGGCCCGGUCCCGAGAGGAGUUGUGCGAUCACAGGGACUUCGUGCUCCGGCACCUCAGUCAGUUGGGGCUUCAGGUCAACCGAGAGAAGAGCAAGCUCUCCCCUGCGCAGAGAAUCUCUUAUCUCGGUAUGGAGUUAGACUCGGUGAGUAUGACGGCACGUCUCACCAGCGAGCGUGCCCAGUCAGUGCUGAACUGCCUGAGUUCCUUCAGAGGCAGGACAGUGGUACCACUGAAACACUUUCAGAGGCUCCUGGGGCAUAUGGCAUCCGCAGCCGCAGUCACGCCGCUCGGGUUGCUUCAUAUGAGGCCACUUCAGCACUGGUUGCACUCCCGAGUCCCGAGAUGGGCAUGGCGCCGCGGUACACAUCGUGUCACCAUCACACCGAUGUGUCGCCGCCAAUUCAGCCCCUGGUCAGACCUUGCCUUUCUACGGGCCGGCGUGCCCUUAGAACAAGUGUCCCGGCAUGUUGUUGUCACAACAGAUGCCUCCAAAACGGGCUGGGGCGCGACAUGCAACGGGCAGGCAGCUUCAGGGUCCUGGACAGGACCUCGACUGCUUUGGCACAUCAACUGUCUGGAGUUGCUGGCAGUGCAUCUAGCUUUACGGCGGUUUCGGCCGCUGUUGCUGGACAAGCACGUGUUGGUCCGCACGGACAACACUGCGGCUGUUUCGUACAUCAACCGACAGGGCGGUCUACGAUCACGUCGCAUGUCUCAACUCGCCCGCCAUCUCCUCCUCUGGAGUCAGACGCGGCUCAAGUCGCUGCGCGCUAUCCACAUCCCAGGGGAGCUCAAUCGUGCAGCCGAUGCGCUCUCACGACAGCUCACUUUCCCUGGGGAAUGGCGACUCCAUCCCCAGACGGUCCAGCUGAUCUGGAGUCGAUUCGGGGAAGCCCAGGUAGAUCUGUUUGCUUCCCACGAGUCCUCCCACUGCCAGCUGUACUAUUCCCUGUCCCAGGCCCCCCUGGGCACGGAUGCACUGGCACACAGCUGGCCUCGGGCUCUACGCAAGUAUGCGUUUCCCCCAGUGAGCCUGCUCGCACAGACACUGUGCAAGGUCAGGGAGGACGAGGAACAGGUCCUGUUGGUUGCGCCUUACUGGCCCACCCGGACCUGGUUUUCGGAACUCAUGCUCCUCGUGACAGCCCCUCCCUGGCGCAUCCCCCUGAGGAGGGACCUCCUCUCUCAGGGGCUGGGCACCAUUUGGCACCCGCGUCCAGAUCUCUGGAACCUCCACGUGUGGCUUCUGGAUGGGACGCGGCAGACCUAA